GAUCAUGGCUCAGGAUGAACGCUAGCUACAGGCUUAACACAUGCAAGUCGAGGGGCAGCAUGACCUAGCAAUAGGUUGAUGGCGACCGGCGCACGGGUGAGUAACACGUAUCCAACCUACCGGUUAUUCCGGGAUAGGCCUUUCGAAGAAAGAUUAAUACCGGAUAGUAUAACGAGAAGGUCAUCUUCUUGUUAUUAAAGAAUUUCGUAUAACCGAUGGGAUGCGGUUCCAUUAGUUUGUUGNGGGUAACGGCC
rnacentral:rRNA from 1 species